rnacentral:snRNA from 2 species
GUCUCUUCGGAGACAUCCGAUAAAAUUGGAACGAUACAGAGAAGAUUAGCAUGGCCCCUGCGCAAGGAUGACAAGCACAAAUCGAGAAAUGGUCCAAAUUUUU